rnacentral:rRNA from 1 species
AUGGCGGAUGAUAACAAGUUCCUCCUUUUGUUUUUCCUCUUGAGCAGCUCAUCGUUGUGUUUUGGUUCUGAACAUGAUAUCCCGUGCCUCAAGUCUGUACAACAAUCGGUGAUUGAUACCGACGGUGUACUCGAAUCCACAUGGAACUUUGGAAGUGAAACCGACGGUUUCAUAUGCCAAUUUACUGGUGUGGAGUGCCGGCACCCCGACGAGAAUAGGGUUCUCUCUCUGCGACUUGACAACCUAGGACUUGAAGGCCCAUUUCCUCAGGGUCCUCAAUAUUGUUCAAGCAUGACGGGACUGGACCUAUCGAAUAAUAGUUUUUUAGGACCAGUCCCUACCGACAUUUCAUGGAAGCUGCAGCAGCUGACAUCUCUGGAUCUUUCGUACAAUAGCUUUUCGGGAUCAAUCCCACAGAGUAUGUCAAAUAUGAUAUAUCUGAAUCUCCUCAACCUUCAGCAUAACCAACUCAGCGGUCAAAUUCCGCCAUAG